rnacentral:sRNA from 1 species
UAAAACUUUAAAAUUUGAGUUAUAAAAUUUCGUCUCGCGGUGAAUUAUACAUUUAAAUCAAACAAUAACAUAAAUUUAUUAAAUCAUCCUAAAAAUUAUUCAAUUAUUUUUUAUUUAAUAAAAAUAUAGGUCCGCGGUAUACUGCAGAUUAAUAUCUAGUAUAAU